rnacentral:lncRNA from 1 species
AUCCCGUCGGCCCAAGGGGAGCAGGUCGCCGCAGCCAGCGAGUUCCCCCCUCCCGAGUGGGACGUUACCCCCUCCCAGGACUGGGACGGUUGUGUAGAGGCGAUGGCGGUGCUUGCGGGUGACAAGGGGUGCCUGCAGGGAAUCGCUCCCCCCUCUCCAUCUACGAUCCCCGGCGGCGUCAGCCACCGGCGGCUGCACACCCUGGCCGAAGAUCUCGGGGUGUUAAAAGAAGGGAGAAAGAGGGGAAGGAAAGUCACAUGCCUGCGUGCUUGUCGUGAAACCCUCGUAGCCACCCUCAACCGUUUGAAUGAUCACGAAGUGGCGAUUGUGACUAUGAGCUGUGUCAGCAAAGAUGGCGCCUGUCAGCAGCGGCCGAGCGGCGGAGACACGCCAGAGCCCCCGCCCACUGCUCCACCCACCGUACCACCCCCACCACCAUAUUUGGGAGACAAGGCACCACCUCCACUGGUGACGUCACUAUACCCGCCACUCCUUGAAGGGCGGGGCAAGACUCGUCCUCCUCCAGCCCCUCCUCCAGCUCCUCCUUCAACUCCUCCUCCAGCUCCUCCUCCGUCAGUGCCCAACUCCGUGCCAACCCCUCUGCUUCAGGUUUAUCCUAUUGAAAUUGUGAAGACCCGUCAGGACAACGACGGCAACAUUAUCACCGAGCGAACUACUAGAGACCGCGAUCGUGGUGAAAUGAAUGAACUCAUAAGCAGGACAGCCCGCCAAAGCGAUGAGACGCCAACCCAGUGGCUAAGACGCCUGGUUUUGGAAUGCGGUCAUGAAACGCUCAGCCAUCGCGAGGCUGUAGUUCUGACCACACAUGGCAGUUACAGCUUAGGACUUCUACCCGGAUCUAAUGUCCUAGAAAUUGCACGUACUCCGUGGCCUAUUUCGCUUCCCGCUCUAGUGGCAGGAGCCAUUCACGAGAAGCCACAUCAAGCGCACGAGGGGGCCCAGCUGAUGCAGGCUCCGCAUUCACAGCCGUUUACUAACGCAUUGGCUGGCGCAGUGUAUCUCUCUAUCCCGAAGAGAUGUUCCACGAUUGAUGCCAGCAUAUCUGUUCUCACUCGAGCAGGAAACAAGGGCGAUAACGACGAUAGCGACGAUGAUGACAGGGACGAACAUCACUCCAGUGAUGACAUACCUACCUCUUCCAGGCCACCAGAUUCCACAUCCACCGGACCAGAGGCAUCACCCAAUCGACCAACGCAACAGCCUCGUCGUGGUUAUGACCCGUGGCCUCAGCGGCAUUGCAAGGACCCUCUCCAACUUCAGAUUUCCCCAGCAAUUUUACAAGNNNNNNNNNNNCUGCAACUGGAGUACUGCAUCCAGUUUUGGGCUCCACAAUUCAAAAAGGAUGUGGAGAAGCUUGAGAGAGUCCAGAGAAGAGCCACGUGCAUGAUCAGAGAUCAGGAAAACAGACCUUAUGAUGAC